rnacentral:tRNA from 1 species
GGGGAAAAGGUAAAAGAAUAGCUUCUAACUAAUUCUUAAAGCGGUUAAACUCCGUUUUUCUCUU